rnacentral:lncRNA from 1 species
GUAUCCUUUUUUAAAAAAAGAAAGAAAAUUCAAUUAUAUAUCACCAACACUCUCCUCACUUGUGGGCUUGAAAUAUUUGAAAGGCCCAACAACUGGAAAUGGAUUUUAAUUGGGGAGGAAACGACAAUGCGAGGCUUGAACACAAGACCUUCUUGGACCACCUGCUCGGAUACCAUAUUGAAAGGGAGACAAACAAACACACAACUUUACGUGGAAACCUGUGUACCAGGAGAAAAACCACUAUAUUUUUCUUCUUAUUAUUUUCUGAUGAAAAAUACAAUAGGUACAAGGGAGAAUAAAUAGAAUAUACAGAGGAAUAAAAAAGGAAAAUAUUUAGGAAUUAAGAAAAAUAUUCCCAUAAACUUUUCAUAAAUAUUCUAAGAUUCUAACAAUAAAAAGUUCUAUUUAUUCCAAAUUGUGACUGCUCUAAUGUGCAGUUGUUUUCUGAUUUAGAUGAUUGAGGAGCUUGGUGGUUCUCUCACUGCUGAUGGGAGUACAAGCACUCAUGUCAUUACAGGAAAAGUGCGGAAAACUCUAAAUUUUUGUAUUGCUCUUUUUCAGGGUUAGUCUUGCAACCUUAGACGAACACUCUUCUAUGUGUCCUUUUGGCCUUUGAAUACCGAUAAUCAUCUCAUUUGCACCAAAGUUAGCGAUUCCAUGCACACAAGGCCUUUGCCGUUAUUCUUCCAUUGCCUCGUAGUUGUGCUUAGGCUGGAAAUUGUUGUGAACCUUCUAGAUCUAAAAGGGCAUAGUUUCUUAUUCUACUGCCUGUUUACUUUUAGUUAAACAUCAAAAUCAAUUCUUAUGUUUGAGUUGGAUUGUAUCAUGCUCUUCCUUUUCAGUUGUUUCUAUCGUGAUGGUGGGUAGUGGUUGUUAAGACAACCAUUAGGCUAAUUUGGGUUUCAGGCUUACUUUUCCCAUUUUACGUGUAAAAUGGCUCAAGCUCACUAAUGAAAGAUAUUUGUUGGCUAGCUAGUGUUUUUAUCCUCGAUUUCCUUCUUCCCCUAAUACAUUAUGUUAUGGAAUUUGUUAGAUACCUAGAUUAGUAUAGGGUUGGGGUAUAAGGGUAAUUAGAUAUUUAGGAAGUUACUAGUAGUUAUUGUGUAAGUGUGGUUACUAGUAGUUAUUAUGUAAGUGUGGUAACUAGGGUGGUUACAUGUUAUUAUAAAUGGAGGGAGGGUAAGUGGGGAGAAUUCUGGGGAGUGAUAUAAGGCUUGGGUGAGAGUACUCAAGAGGGAGGGUUCCAAUGCUUUAUACUUGGUUUUAUCUUGUAUUUUCUUAUAGUUACAUUAUAAUAAAUUCAGAUCUUGUUCUUGUUAGGAAGUAUAUGUCUCCAAUAUUAUUUAAAUACAGUAGUAGAAGAAUUAAAAAGGGUAAUAUUGACCCACACGAGAAUAUAGGAGAGAUUAUAGGAGGAGAGAAUAUCGGAGGAGAUCUUUCCCAUUAGUUUGUUAGUAAAGCAAAAUAAAAGGGAGGAAAGAGGAGGGAGAAAGGGGACAAAAUAUUCCAAAGAAGUAGAGGCUGCCGUCUUUCGUGCUCGGGAGAAGUAGAGGGUCCAAGUCAAGUUCUUUUUAUUGUUUGUUUUGGUCAUUUUCAUGGUUGCGGUUUGUUCUUAGUUUUUCUUGUUCUUUGUUGUGAUCCUCACUGGAGUGUGCCUUUAGGAAGUAGAUGUGAGUGAUUUUUUAUUCUCUAUACUGUAAUUCAUUGAGGUAAUUCAAUAAAGUAAGAUACACUUGCCGUAUAUUUACAGUAUCUUAACAAAUUGGUAUCAGAGCGUUUUUACUUGGGAGAACGAGUAGAGCAGCACAAAAACGGAUCGAAGAGAAGUUGGAGACCUCUGAUAAGGAAAUCUCGGGAUACAAGUGGAGUUACACAAGUUGCUGGCAAUUGAAGAAAACUUGUUAUGCUUGCCAAAAAGCAUCGAAAGACUGGUCAUCUAGUUGGAAAAACAAGAACGGUUGCUAAAUGCAUCGAAGGAAUAGCAGAAGGAUAAUUCGACAAUCUCCGGAAGAAUGGAAGGAUCGUCGAGCAAAGGACAACGAUUGAGAGUAUCAUCGAAGGUGGAGGUAAGACAUUGAAGGAAAUCAAGGUAGAAGGUAAAACAAACAAGUUUGAAAGGAUGAAAACUCGAACGAUCAUAGCAAAUUCAAGAAGGUUUGAAAUGCUGUGUUCAGUGGCACUGAUCUGGAUUGUGUUUAUUUAGAACGGAUUGGAAUCUUCAGGUCCAUAAAUCGAUGGAUUCCAAGAAGUUGCUGAUCCAUAGAAGAAAUCGAGGAAAACGCGAUUUCAACGGUUAUACAACGAAGGUGAAGAGGAUGGCAAAGAGUGACCAAGAAGAAACUAUAGAGGAAGGUCGACGAGGAUUACCUGUGAGGCUCGAAAUGAAGACUCGAGUGAAGAAAAAUUUGUUGCUCAAAGAAACACAAAAUGGCUGGUUGCAAUGGAGAAAGAAGAAGCCGAUAGUUACGGUCUACAGAGGCUCGAGAAGGUGGUCUGGAAUAGGGGUGAAUCACGUGACGAGGAAGAAGUUGCUGCAGACAUGAUGGUGCCAAUGACGUGGUAGAAAUUUGUAGGAAAGAGGAUUAGGACAAAAAGGAACAAUCUUGGGUUUUAACUAUUUCAAGUGGGCUUCAACUUACUCUAAAUGAGCUUCAACUUAUUCUAAAUAAGACAUUGGGGCACAUCAUUUUAUAGAUGAAGUGGAUGGAGAGUUCCAAAAAUAGGAGGGAAGAAAAACGUGUAUGUAGGUGGGUCCUAGGAAUGAAACCGGCCAGUAUGAUUUUGGUCUUGACGCAACACUUUGAUUAUGGCCUAGCCCACUAGAGAUGAAGAGUUUGAAAAUUAAACACUUGUUGGUGAUAUGCAAAGGGUUAACUAAGACAAUGUGUUUUGGAAAAGGAAAAUUCAAGUACAUUGGGCUGCUUUGUGGGCUGAAGUCAAUGGACCUUAUUGGAAUCGAGAGUUUUUCAAAGCCGAAGGAGGGAGGAUUUCUUUUUCAACAUUGAAGAGCAGAAUGCUGGGGAUUGUUUGCAAUUAAAAAGAGAAAAAAGAGAAAGGGGCCUUGAUCAUGUUUGUAAGCACACCUUGAGGACAAGGUGUUUUGAAGGAUCGGGUAAUGUUAGAUACCUAGAUUAGUAUAAGGUUAGGGGUAUAAGGGUAAUUAGAUAUUUAGAAAGUUACUAGUAGUUAUUAUGUAAGUGUGGUUACAUCUUAUUAUAAAUGGAGGGAGGGUAAGUGAGGGGAGAAUUCUGGGGAGUGAUCUAGGGCUUGGGUGAGAGUACUCAAGAGGGAGGUUCCAAGUGCCUUAUACUUGGUUUUAUCUUGUAUUUUCUUAUAGUUCAUUAUAAUAAAUUAAGAUCUUGUUCUUGUUAGGAAGUAUCCUAACAGAAUUCCUCUAGAAGGUCUCAUGUUAGCGAAUGAUAAUCUGCGUUAAGUGUGUAUUUGUAGGAGUUCUUCUCCCGGGCAUCUAUGGUUGAUAUUCUUUACCUUUCAAUAUAUCAAAGCCAAGGAUUCUUUUGCAUUUCUCUAUGCUUUUUCUUUACCCAUUUAUGUUUUUUUCAGUUAUAUUUGAGAGUAGUAUUUCAUUUCUUUCAUGUGAAAUGUUGAACUUCAGUAGUGUGGAGAGUGGAACGUAAUAUCUUACCUUUUAUAUUAGUAAACUUGAUUUUAAGCAAUGCGUUUUUGAAGAUUUUAUGUUGUAGAAUGUUUUUUGUUCUUCAAGCUACUGUUCUUAACUUUAUUUUCUCCUGUUAAUGUUCUCAAUGAUUAUCGAGCAUAUGCAUUACCAUGUGGCUUCAAGCGUGUCAGUGUGCUCUUGCUCAUAAUUUUUACUAUAUCUUGUUACUAAAAUUGCAAGUUAAUUGCAAAUUACUCAGAGCUUGGAUUUUCUCCUCCAGUUGGUUAAAGGAAAGCUACGGGAAGGCAGAUUUGUUGGUAAGUUCGAAUGGCUUGCUAGUAUCAAAGCGUAAUGUAUUUUCUUCCACUUAUGUUUUUCAUCCUACCUAAUUUUUGUGAUUGAUUAAUUCCUUAUUGAUCUGCAGACGAGUUGCCUUACAUACUAAAUGAUGAUGACUACAUAUCGAAGUAUCGAGCCAGCCUAGAAGCUGCAGUUCUCAGGCAAAAGCAUGUCCUGGAGCUUUAUUUGAAGGGUAUGAUGUUUGCAUAUCAGCUCACGCUCAACCACCACCUAAAACUCUAUCCUGAUAGUCAAGUCAGCCGGUGGAAAUGUAAGUUCUCUGUUAUUGUACAAAUCUCGAGUACUAGGUUUGGUUCUCUUUAUUACAUAUACAACCACUAUAAUAUGGCUAUCCUCCCAUCUAAUGAAGACGUGAAGUUCUCAACAAACAAGUGAUAGAACUAAGUCAUGCGCAGCGGAAAAAGAAUCGAAUUUCUACCCUAAUUGCCACAAUUAACAUGUAACCAUAAACUAAUCAAAUUAGGGUUUUAGGAAAUAUUACCUUUGAAGCUUUCAAAAAGUUUGAUAUCUUCUUACCAAUUCAAACCGAGACCACCACUAGUACUCAACUGCUAUCCUCUAGACAAAGAACCAGGUUGUGGGACCCAAUUUUGGUGUAGAAAGUAAUAGAGAUAGAAGGGGGUUAGAAGGUUUCUUUUUUUCUUUGGUUGAGAUGAUGAAAUGAUAAAAGAGGCAAAAGUCCUUCAACAUUUAAAACACCUCUAUUUAUAACCUAAUUACAUGCAAAAAUGCAUGUAAU